GACAGAGGGUGCAAACGUUGUUCGGAAUUACUGGGCGUAAAGCGCGUGUAGGCGGCUCUGCAAGUCGGAUGUGAAAGCCCUCGGCCUCAACCGAGGAAGUGCACCCGAAACUGCAGAGCUAGAGUCUCGGAGAGGAUCGUGGAAUUCCCGGAGUAGUGGUGAAAUGCGUAGAUAUCGGGAGGAACACCGGUGGCGAAGGCGGCCAGCUGGCGCCUGACCUGACG
rnacentral:rRNA from 1 species